rnacentral:rRNA from 1 species
UACGUAGGGGGCAAGCGUUGUCCGGAUUUAUUGGGCGUAAAGAGCGUGUAGGCGGCCUGACAGGUCUGCUGUGAAAACUCGAGGCUCAACCUCGAGAUGUCGGCGGAAACCGUCUGGCUAGAGUCCGGAAGAGGAGAGUGGAAUUCCUGGUGUAGCGGUGGAAUGCGCAGAUAUCAGGAGGAACACCGGUGGCGAAGGCGGUUCUCUGGGCAUUACCUGACGCUGAGGAGCGAAAGUGUGGGGAGCGAACAGG